UCGGCUUAGAGUUUGAUCAUGGCUCAGGAUGAACGCUGGCGGCGUGCCUAAUACAUGCAAGUCGAACGAAACUUCUUUAUCACCGAGUGCUUGCACUCACCGAUAAAGAGUUGAGUGGCGAACGGGUGAGUAACACGUGGGCAACCUGCCCAAAAGAGGGGGAUAACACAUGGAAACAGGUGCUAAUACCGCAUAACCAUAGUUACCGCAUGGUAACUAUGUAAAAGGUGGCUAUGCUACCGCUUUUGGAUGGGCCCGCGGCGCAUUAGCUAGUUGGUGAGGUAAAGGCUUACCAAGGCGAUGAUGCGUAGCCGAACUGAGAGGUUGAUCGGCCACAUUGGGACUGAGACACGGCCCAAACUCCUACGGGAGGCAGCAGUAGGGAAUCUUCCACAAUGGGCGAAAGCCUGAUGGAGCAACGCCGCGUGGGUGAAGAAGGUCUUCGGAUCGUAAAACCCUGUUGUUAGAGAAGAAAGUGCGUGAGAGUAACUGUUCACGUUUCGACGGUAUCUAACCAGAAAGCCACGGCUAACUACGUGCCAGCAGCCGCGGUAAUACGUAGGUGGCAAGCGUUAUCCGGAUUUAUUGGGCGUAAAGGGAACGCAGGCGGUCUUUUAAGUCUGAUGUGAAAGCCUUCGGCUUAACCGGAGUAGUGCAUUGGAAACUGGGAGACUUGAGUGCAGAAGAGGAGAGUGGAACUCCAUGUGUAGCGGUGAAAUGCGUAGAUAUAUGGAAGAACACCAGUGGCGAAAGCGGCUCUCUGGUCUGUAACUGACGCUGAGGUUCGAAAGCGUGGGGAGCAAACAGGA
rnacentral:rRNA from 1 species